rnacentral:rRNA from 1 species
GAUCAUGGCUCAGAUUCGAACGCUGGCGGCAUGCUUUACACAUGCAAGGUCGAACGGCAGCGAGAGAGAAGCUUGCUUCUCUUGUCGGCGAGUGGCGAACGGGUGAGUAACACAUCGGAACGUACCCUGUAGUGGGGGAUAACUACUCGAAAGAGUAGCUAAUACCGCAUACAACCUGAGGGUAAAAGUGGGGGACCGCAAGGCCUCACGCUAUAGGAGCGGCCGAUGGAAGAUUAGCUAGUUGGUAGGGUAAAGGCCUACCAAGGCGACGAUCUUUAGCGGGUCUGAGAGGACGAUCCGCCACACUGGGACUGAGACACGGCCCAGACUCCUACGGGAGGCAGCAGUGGGGAAUUUUGGACAAUGGGCGAAAGCCUGAUCCAGCAAUGCCGCGUGAGUGAAGAAGGCCUUCGGGUUGUAAAGCUCUUUUGUUUGGGAAGAAAUCCUUAGUGCUAAUACCGCUGGGGGAUGACGGUACCAAAAGAAUAAGCACCGGCUAACUACGUG